rfam:Triticum urartu cultivar G1812 contig386823, whole genome shotgun sequence.
UUUGUACUCCCUCCGUCCCAAAAUUCUUGUCUUAGAUUUGUCUAAAUACGGAUGUAUACUCCCUCCGUCCCAAAAUUAUUGUCUUAGAUUUUUCUAAAUACGGAUGUGUCAAGAUACAUCCGUAUUUAGACAAAUCUAAGACAUGAAUUUUGGGACAGAGGGAGUAUAUA